GCAGGCUGGAACUCGCCUGCAUGAAGUUGGAUUCGCUAGUAAUCGCGCAUCAGCCAUGGCGCGGUGAAUACGUUCCCGGGCCUUGUACACACCGCCCGUCAAGCCAUGAAAGUCGGGGGGUGCUUGAAGUACGCUUACCGCAAGGGGCGUCCUAAGGCAAAACCGAUAAUUGGGGCUAAGUCGUAACAAGGUAAC
rnacentral:rRNA from 1 species